GAUCUGUUGAUGACGUGGUGGCGGUCUGGAGGCGGGGGUUUGAUCCAAAAACCUUGGCGGGGAGGAUGACUAUUGCAGCAUGCGGCCUAGCUUUGAACCACCAACACGCAGGUGGGGAAGAGGCGCAUUUUUUGGAUGUGGGGCUGGAGCUGCAUGAUGGUGCACUCACUGCCACGGUUUGCAGAGGACCAACGUGUGAACCCGUUGUUGUCCCAAAGUGGUCCCGUGGCCCAGCCUCCUACAGGCUCUCUGCCUUUGGGUUUUGCUUUAAACGGGCGGAGCUCUGCAGCAGUAGGCAGGAGGAGAGGGAGAGGGAAUUGGGAUGUAUCUACAAAACCGGCUAUCUGUACGGAUGCACAAAGGGCU
rnacentral:lncRNA from 1 species